CUAAUACUCCCUCCGUUCGGAAUUACUUGUCACAAAAAUGGAUGUAUCUACAACUAAAAUACGUCUAGAUACAUUCAUUUCUUGGACGAGUAAUUCCGAACGGAGGGAGUAGUGU
rnacentral:pre_miRNA from 1 species